rnacentral:rRNA from 1 species
AGACCCGAAACCCGGUGAUCUAGCCAUGGGCAGGUUGAAGGUUGGGUAACACUAACUGGAGGACCGAACCGACUAAUGUUGAAAAAUUAGCGGAUGACCUGUGGCUGGGGGUGAAAGGCCAAUCAAACCGGGAGAUAGCUGGUUCUCCCCGAAAGCUAUUUAGGUAGCGCCUCGUGAAUUCAUCUCCGGGGGUAGAGCACUGUUUCGGCUAGGGGGCCAUCCCGGCUUACCAACCCGAUGCAAACUGCGAAUACCGGAGAAUGUUAUCACGGGAGACACACGGCGGGUGCUAACGUCCGUCGUGAAGAGGGAAACAACCCAGACCGCCAGCUAAGGUCCCAAAGUCAUGGUUAAGUGGGAAACGAUGUGGGAAGGCCCAGACAGCCAGGAUGUUGGCUUAGAAGCAGCCAUCAUUUAAAGAAAGCGUAAUAGCUCACUGGUCGAGUCGGCCUGCGCGGAAGAUGUAACGGGGCUAAACCAUGCACCGAAGCUGCGGCAGCGACACUGUGUGUUGUUGGGUAGGGGAGCGUUCUGUAAGCCUGUGAAGGUGUGUCGUGAGGCAUGCUGGAGGUAUCAGAAGUGCGAAUGCUGACAUAAGUAACGAUAAAGCGGGUGAAAAGCCCGCUCGCCGGAAGACCAAGGGUUCCUGUCCAACGUUAAUCGGGGCAGGGUGAGUCGACCCCUAAGGCGAGGCCGAAAGGCGUAGUCGAUGGGAAACGGGUUAAUAUUCCCGUACUUGGUGUUACUGCGAAGGGGGGACGGAGAAGGCUAUGUUGGCCGGGCGACGGUUGUCCCGGUUUAAGCGUGUAGGUGUGUGUUCCAGGUAAAUCCGGUUCACUUUAACACUGAGGCGUGACGACGAGGCACUACGGUGCUGAAGCAACAAAUGCCCUGCUUCCAGGAAAAGCCUCUAAGCAUCAGGUAACAUCAAAUCGUACCCCAAACCGACACAGGUGGUCAGGUAGAGAAUACCAAGGCGCUUGAGAGAACUCGGGUGAAGGAACUAGGCAAAAUGGUGCCGUAACUUCGGGAGAAGGCACGCUGACACGUAGGUGAAGUGAUUUACUCAUGGAGCUGAAGUCAGUCGAAGAUACCAGCUGGCUGCAACUGUUUAUUAAAAACACAGCACUGUGCAAACACGAAAGUGGACGUAUACGGUGUGACGCCUGCCCGGUGCCGGAAGGUUAAUUGAUGGGGUCAGCGCAAGCGAAGCUCCUGAUCGAAGCCCCGGUAAACGGCGGCCGUAACUAUAACGGUCCUAAGGUAGCGAAAUUCCUUGUCGGGUAAGUUCCGACCUGCACGAAUGGCGUAAUGAUGGCCAGGCUGUCUCCACCCGAGACUCAGUGAAAUUGAACUCGCUGUGAAGAUGCAGUGUACCCGCGGCAAGACGGAAAGACCCCGUGAACCUUUACUAUAGCUUGACACUGAACAUUGAGCCUUGAUGUGUAGGAUAGGUGGGAGGCUUUGAAGCGUGGACGCCAGUCUGCGUGGAGCCGACCUUGAAAUACCACCCUUUAAUGUUUGAUGUUCUAACGUGGACCCGUGAUCCGGGUUGCGGACAGUGUCUGGUGGGUAGUUUGACUGGGGCGGUCUCCUCCUAAAGAGUAACGGAGGAGCACGAAGGUUGGCUAAUCCUGGUCGGACAUCAGGAGGUUAGUGCAAUGGCAUAAGCCAGCUUGACUGCGAGCGUGACGGCGCGAGCAGGUGCGAAAGCAGGUCAUAGUGAUCCGGUGGUUCUGAAUGGAAGGGCCAUCGCUCAACGGAUAAAAGGUACUCCGGGGAUAACAGGCUGAUACCGCCCAAGAGUUCAUAUCGACGGCGGUGUUUGGCACCUCGAUGUCGGCUCAUCACAUCCUGGGGCUGAAGUAGGUCCCAAGGGUAUGGCUGUUCGCCAUUUAAAGUGGUACGCGAGCUGGGUUUAGAACGUCGUGAGACAGUUCGGUCCCUAUCUGCCGUGGGCGCUGGAGAACUGAGGGGGGCUGCUCCUAGUACGAGAGGACCGGAGUGGACGCAUCACUGGUGUUCGGGUUGUCAUGCCAAUGGCACUGCCCGGUAGCUAAAUGCGGAAGAGAUAAGUGCUGAAAGCAUCUAAGCACGAAACUUGCCCCGAGAUGAGUUCUCCCUGAGACUUUA